rnacentral:rRNA from 1 species
ACGGGGGAGAGCAGUAGGGAAUUUCCGCAAUGGACGAAAGUCUGACGGACCAACGCCGCGUGAGUGAUGAAGGUUUUCGGCUUGUAAAAUUCUGUUGUUAGGGAAGAACAAGUACGAGAGUAACUGGUCGUUCCUUGGCGGUUCCUAGCCAGAAAACCCCGGCUAAAUUCGUGCCCGCCGCCGCGGUAAUAUGUAGGUGGCCAGCGUUAUCCGGAAUUAUUGGGCGUAAAGCGCGUGCCGGCGGUUCAUUAAGUUUGAUGUGAAAGCCCCCGGCUCAACCGUGGAGGGUCAUUGGAAACUGGGGAACUUGAGUGCAGAAGAGAAAAGCGGAAUUCCACGUGUAGCGGUGAAAUGCGUAGAGCUGUGGAGGAACACCAGUGGCGAAGGCGGCCUUUUGGUCUGUAAAUGACGCUGAGGUGCGAAAGCGUGGGGAGCAAACAGGAUUAGAUACCCUCGUAGUCCACGCCGUAAACGAUGAGUGCUAAGUGUUAGAGGGUUUCCGCCCUUUAGUGCCGCAGCUAACGCAUUAAGCACUCCGCCCUGGGGAGACCGCCCC